rnacentral:rRNA from 1 species
CAGUAGCCGCGGUAAUACAGAGGGUGCAAGCGUUAAUCGGAAUUACUGGGCGUAAAGCGCGCGUAGGUGGUUUGUUAAGUUGGAUGUGAAAUCCCCGGGCUCAACCUGGGAACUGCAUCCAAAACUGGCAAGCUAGAGUAUGGUAGAGGGUGGUGGAAUUUCCUGUGUAGCGGUGAAAUGCGUAGAUAUAGGAAGGAACACCAGUGGCGAAGGCGACCACCUGGACUGAUACUGACACUGAGGUGCGAAAGCGUGGGGAGCAAACAGGAUUAGAUACCCCCGUGGUCCCUGUCUCUUAUAC